GAGAGAAAAGAUGAAGGAGACACUAAUCUAAUCGGAGAGAAGAGAGAAUUGUAUCAACCCACUAAACUUGAACCGUUUAAAAUUAUGAAAAAAGUAGAAAAGAUUGGCAAAAAUAGGGCUCACAUCCUCUUUUCUUUAAUUAAUAAUUCAUAAAUUGAGAUACAUGGUUUUUGUAACACCCCGGCCCAAAAUCAGCCACAGCCCAAACCAAAAAAAAAAAAAAGAAAAAGGAAAGAAACAGGUG
rnacentral:lncRNA from 1 species